GAUGAACGCUGGCGGCGUGCCUAAUACAUGCAAGUCGAGCGAACGGACGAGAAGCUUGCUUCUCUGAUGUUAGCGGCGGACGGGUGAGUAACACGUGGAUAACCUACCUAUAAGACUGGGAUAACUUCGGGAAACCGGAGCUAAUACCGGAUAAUAUUUUGAACCGCAUGGUUCAAAAGUGAAAGACGGUCUUGCUGUCACUUAUAGAUGGACCCGCGCUGCAUUAGCUAGUUGGUAAGGUAACGGCUUACCAAGGCAACGAUGCAUAGCCGACCUGAGAGGGUGAUCGGCCACACUGGAACUGAGACACGGUCCAGACUCCUACGGGAGGCAGCAGUAGGGAAUCUUCCGCAAUGGGCGAAAGCCUGACGGAGCAACGCCGCGUGAGUGAUGAAGGUCUUCGGAUCGUAAAACUCUGUUAUUAGGGAAGAACAUAUGUGUAAGUAACUGUGCACAUCUUGACGGUACCUAAUCAGAAAGCCACGGCUAACUACGUGCCAGCAGCCGCGGUAAUACGUAGGUGGCAAGCGUUAUCCGGAAUUAUUGGGCGUAAAGCGCGCGUAGGCGGUUUUUUAAGUCUGAUGUGAAAGCCCACGGCUCAACCGUGGAGGGUCAUUGGAAACUGGAAAACUUGAGUGCAGAAGAGGAAAGUGGAAUUCCAUGUGUAGCGGUGAAAUGCGCAGAGAUAUGGAGGAACACCAGUGGCGAAGGCGACUUUCUGGUCUGUAACUGACGCUGAUGUGCGAAAGCGUGGGGAUCAAACAGGAUUAGAUACCCUGGUAGUCCACGCCGUAAACGAUGAGUGCUAAGUGUUAGGGGGUUUCCGCCCCUUAGUGCUGCAGCUAACGCAUUAAGCACUCCGCCUGGGGAGUACGACCGCAAGGUUGAAACUCAAAGGAAUUGACGGGGACCCGCACAAGCGGUGGAGCAUGUGGUUUAAUUCGAAGCAACGCGAAGAACCUUACCAAAUCUUGACAUCCUUUGACAACUCUAGAGAUAGAGCUUUCCCCUUCGGGGGACAAAGUGACAGGUGGUGCAUGGUUGUCGUCAGCUCGUGUCGUGAGAUGUUGGGUUAAGUCCCGCAACGAGCGCAACCCUUAAGCUUAGUUGCCAUCAUUAAGUUGGGCACUCUAAGUUGACUGCCGGUGACAAACCGGAGGAAGGUGGGGAUGACGUCAAAUCAUCAUGCCCCUUAUGAUUUGGGCUACACACGUGCUACAAUGGACAAUACAAAGGGCUGCGAAACCGCGAGGUCAAGCAAAUCCCAUAAAGUUGUUCUCAGUUCGGAUUGUAGUCUGCAACUCGACUACAUGAAGCUGGAAUCGCUAGUAAUCGUAGAUCAGCAUGCUACGGUGAAUACGUUCCCGGGUCU
rnacentral:rRNA from 1 species